UACGUAGGGGGCAAGCGUUGUCCGGAAUUACUGGGCGUAAAGCGUGCGCAGGCGGUUUGCUAAGACAGGUGUGAAAUCCCCGGGCUUAACCUGGGAACUGCGCUUGUAACUGGCAAGCUUGAGUGUGGCAGAGGGGGGGUGGAAUUCCACGUGUAGCAGUGAAAUGCGUAGAGAUGUGGAGGAACACCGAUGGCGAAGGCAGCCCCCCUGGGCUAACACUGACGCCUCAUGCACGAAAGCGUGGGGAGCAAACAGG
rnacentral:rRNA from 1 species